AGAGCGGCUGGACUGAGCUGUAAAUGAUCUCAGACCCUGGCAUCCACCCUCACCUGUUUCCUUCAAAGAGAUAAUGUGAUGGCCUGUCGUGUUAAGUUGGUGCGUCAGCAGAAGAUCUGACAAUCUGUGUUUGGAUAUGCAUCUCUGCCUCAAAUCCAUCCUUUCAAUGACAUCACUCACCACCCCUCCCAUUGGACAAAGUGACCGUCAGUCCGAGGCACUGACCAAUGACUGCCCGGCAGUGCAUCUGAGGGAGGUGUGGCAGGUGCAGUGCUGUAGCCAUGGCGACAGUGGAUGCUGAGCACUGCCACGACUUUGUGUAGGCAGAGUCUGAAUGGGGAUGACAUCACUCAGGGAGACGGGAGAAAAACAACAUCGCCUUCAGUUCCUGUGUCUGUUUUUCUGCCCGUGACGAUAACACCAAAUGUUAUUUGGAGGAAGAUGCAAAACUAAAGACGGUCGUUUUGUUAGAAAUCAACUUUGAAUCCCAAAGCAAAGCCAGAAACUGGCCUCUCUCUUUUGCUGUACGCAAAAAGAUGACUGCAGAAGAAAACCAGUACUGAUACAAUCUUCUCCAUUACAGGACAAAUGUUUUGGAAACUGUUUGAAAAAUGAGUUUUGGCUGAAUUUUAUAUUUAGGAAACCUUUGUACAUAUGUGUGAUUAAAGAAAUAUGACACUUUAUUAAAAGCUGAGGGGAAAAAACAAAAUAGAAAUCAUUAAAAGUUAUAAAAAUAUAUUUUUUAACUGCAAAAAUAAAAGAUCAAAUUCAUUAAUGCUGAUUAAAUCACCAUGAAGUACAGAAUCUCUAGAAAUAAAAUUCAACAGAAAAAUAUUCUUAAAAUACUUAAAAUUCAAAAAAUUUGUUCAUUUUAAAAUACAACAGUCACAAUAAACAGAAGAACGUGACAACGCUGCGUUUACUGACUGUUUUAUUUAGCUGCAUCAGCCCAGUUACACCAGUUUGUGCGCUGGUUUUUCCACCAUGAAGGUUUUAAUGUCUCAUGUGACAAGAUGGGAACAAACAGCAUACCCCUGAUGUUUAGAUGCUCCUCCUCACUGAAUCUCUCUCUCUCUCUUUCUCCUUCUCUGGUUGUGACUCACGCUCUGGGCAUGAGGGCCGGCCCCUCCUUCAGAUGACAUCAGAGGGCUUGAAAUAGCUGCUGCAGCAGCAGCAGCAGCAGCAUUAGAGCUUCCAGUCAUGGGAUCCUGCUGUGAGGCCUGCAACCCAGGCAGCUACUUCCAGCUGAGGAGGGGAGUGAGACUGGGAGGGGUGGGCCAUAAAAACAAAGAGACGGGGGAGAUAAUGAAGUGACAGGAGCAACAAGUCAGAGGGGUGAUCGGCUCAACAUCCUUUCAGAGCUACUCUCACUCAAAAGGGGUCCAAAAUAUGAGAGCGGCAAUUGUGUUUGGUCAAACUGAACACGUGUACCUGGAUAUUUUUCAUUUUCACUGGUUUAAUCUGUCGUCUUUGUUUCUUACUUUGCAAUAAACCAGUAACAUGAACUAAUUCAUGGUACAUAAUAUAGCUGCAAAUAUGUCAACCAUAUAUGUGGUUAUAACAGUAGUUGCCCAUAAUAAACAUGGCAACGUUUCAAAGAAUGGAUGCCAACGUAUGUAGAAAUAAGCUUACACAGACUGAUCUCCACACUCAGAAUCCGACUGUUUUUUCCAAUCCUGGCUCUGUAUGAUGUCACUGAGAGCUAAUGCCUCAUAACAAAAUAUGAAUAGCUCAGGUUUAUGGACUCGAAUUGUGACAUUUGAUCAGGACAGUAAAAAUGUGUAUGUAAUGUAUUUCUCUGCAACACCUACUUUUUACAGAUAAAAACUGGGGAUGUGUCACCGUGGCAACCAAGAAAACAGCUUUAAAGGAAGUGCCAACGAUUGUGUCUUAACCCAGACUGUGUCCUGUUUCAUUCCUAACUCUAACCAAUGGUUUUUAAUACUAAAUUUAAUCAAAGCACACAUUUAAACGUUAAAAAAAUUAAUAAUACUUGUGAAGUGAUUUACUCGAGCUCCACCAUCAGCUCCUCCUGUGCCCGCAGCCUUCUCCAGCCUCCAACCAUGAACUGUUUCACCGUUUGAAAGUGGAAAAUCCUGAUUUCAUGAACAUGGAUUGUACAUAUGAGACCGGACGGAUUUAAAGUCAGGGUCAGACUGUCUUCCCGUCUCGGGCACACAGCUCUGGUUGCGAGCAGUGGCAUCCACCCACCUGCUGCUUGGGCCUCCUGUUUGAGAGGGGCGGCCUAUCAGAAGAACGUUGGUUUAAACUGUGAGGACAUAAACAGCUCACAUGAGAAAGAAGAUGAACUGAGAUUCCACGUCAAGUAUUUCUGUUUAUGCAUGAACGGCAUGCAUAUUUGCAUUAAAUCCUCUAGCAGAAAGCAGAGAAAUAGUAUGGAAAGAUUUCAUUACCCUCAUGUUCUCAGUUUACCUCUCACUCCUCAUGCUUCCCUCACACCCAAACACUUCUCUUUAUCCCUCCCUCCGCUCUCACAUCACAACCUGUCUGUGGAUGAAGUGACAGAGUGUGAACAAAAGAAAACAGCCUUCCACCGAGACCGAGAGAGAGACCCUCCUGUGCAAGAGAAGUAGGACAGGAAACGUGAGGACAGUGAACAUGUGAGUAACACGCGCAGACAUAAACAGUCAGGGUGUGCUGCUGUUAGCUAUCUGCAGCCAUCACAACACCAACAGCACACCCAUCCAUAUUCCCCCUGCCUGCCGCUCUAUCUGCACACAGGAAAUGGACCUUACAAAGUAAAGGCUAGAUUCUCACUCUGGGCUGCCUGGUCUGUGUCUCAUAACUGCACUCAGUCAUCAGUAAACAAAAAGAAUGAUUUAAAAAAACCCAAAACAUCUUUUUUUUCUCUAAAGUUCGUCUAAACGUUUGAAAAAAUUCAUAAAUUACAGUACAACCUCAAUUACUAGUGAGAUGCUGUGUGAAGUGUAAAUGAAAACAGAAUGCAAUGAUCCGGAAAUCAAAUAAAACCAUAUUUUAUUUACCAUAGAACAAAACAAAAGGUUAGCUCUUUUGGAGUUUUAAGGCAGCAACACAUCCUAAAAAAAGUUGAGUGCUGUGUGGAUCCCCUCUUCUCUGAACAGCAGUCUGUAAACAUCUGGGCACUGAGGACACUCAGCUGGACUCUCAGGAGAUGAUAGAUGAUUCUAGCUGGUCUGCUUUCUUGCAACUGUAUAUAUAACUUUGGAUUAUACAGAUUAUACAGUAUGAGUAUGUCAAAAAUGUAGACUCUCAGGAAAAAGUAACAUUUUUACACUUAACAUCACAUAAUCUCUAUUUAUUACACGUGCAGUGAAAUAUUUCAAGCAGUUUUUAUUUCGAUCUGGAUAGUUUUCAUACAAAUCUAGAAUCCAGUGUCUUAUUUGAAUAGUUUGUUUUGAGUUUUAGUAUAUUGUGUAUCUCUUGGACUGUUUCAAUAAACACCACCAGAGUAAUGGGUUGCGGUUGAUGAUCAUGAACUUUGUUUGUUUUAGCUGCUUUCCACCCGAUGGAAAAGGACCUCCCUCUUCCUUCUCCUUUCCCCUUAUUACACAUUAUCAAACGAAAGAUAAGAAACACCCAAAAAUACAGGCUGGAGUAGUGGGUGUAACUGUAAAUAAAUAAAGAGACCAAGGAUGGAAUAAUACAGAAGCUUGAAGAAAUGAAGGCCUGGAUAAUAGAAAACAACAGCGGUGGAUGAUCGCAGGAAAAGCAAGU
ensembl:lncRNA